CCAGCACAGAAUGCUGAGUUUGUGAGAUGCAGCAAAGUUAAGGAGGGAUGCAAUUGCUCAGUUGGAGGUGAAAAGGAAAACUCAGCUCUAACAAGACAAGCUACAGACAAGGAUGGUGGGCUGUGCUGGGAAAAUCUGUGACUGAGGAGCAGAAGGAGGAAACUCACUGACAGCAUCAAAGGACCAUUGUACCCCAACUGCAAAGAAACUUGCCUGUCAGGGAUAACACAGGAGAACGUGAGCUGAAGGCUCCCUAUGGCAGAGAAGGGAAAAUUAAAUGAAGGUCUCCUUGAUCCUGAGGACAUCAGCUCAGUGAGCAUUGAUGGGAACACCAUGCUGUUUGUGAUUCUCCACCCCUAGUCAAAAAAAACUUGUUCUCAGCACAGCUUUUGAAAGAACCUGGCACCUUUGCAUUCUGGACAAUGGAUGGAGGUAACAAGACGGAGCAUAAGCAUUAUCUUCUGUCAGGAGCAGACUGCUGGAGCUGAUGCUGGCUGGUAAUUCAAGUUGCACUUCUGCUGUGCAACUGUAAGGUGAAGGAGACAUUGUGAAGAAACCGAAAAGAUGGGUAAAAGACACAGAAAUAUUUCCCUCUGAGAAGCUGCUUAGAGCAAGUUACAAGAAGUUGAGAAGGAAAAUGCAGUUCCCCUCCCUGAUGUGCAGCAAUCUGGUAGUCUCUACUAAUAACCAGGAGCAUGAGUUCAUCAAGAUGUUGUUUUCUGGAUUUAAAUCAAGAACAUCAUUGAAAUCUGCUUUUGCUGUCAGACAUGAGCUAUCCCUUAGGAGGUAGGGACAGGGCACCACCUGGAAUAUCCAAGUAGGAUCAUGCUGGUCAUGAUGGAAAAUUGGUGUAAUGUCACAAUGGAGCUGCAAAGCUACUCGAGGCAUCCAUGAGACCUCAGGGUGGAACUGAUAGGAGCUCCCAUUUUGUUAGACCUGGAGUAUUCCAAACCUGUCCACCAUGGGAGAGUUCUGCUCAUGUUGGAUAGCUAUCAAAGUCCAUUUGUCUCUCUCCUACAGGCAAGGAGCUGAAGCAGUAGCUGGCAUAGGUCAAGAUGGUGCUGCUGAAUCAGUUGCUGCUGAGGGAAAAUAACAUGGUUCCCACUGUGUGUGCUAUCUAUGUCUUGGGAUACUUCUGUGAAGGAGAAAAGUUGUGAAUCUCCAGGUACUUCUGAUCAUUUCACAAGUGCAUGUCCUUUAAGGUGAAGAGGGACCAUUAGUCUCUGACCAUGCUUCAAGUGGGUCACAGAGUCUCAUGAAGUUACCGGUGCAACAAGGCAUAUAACUUGCAAGUUAGGAAUAAGACAAAACAAGUCAGCUAGAAUGAAAGCCCUGGGGUGUUACUGCUGCUGCAUCCAUGGAGGGCAGAGGAAUGUGCUCAGAGACUGCCCAGCCAGCACUGGCCAUGCGCUUGCUUCUCUUCUGGCCCAGGCAAAGGUCCUGGCCAUCCUCUUUAAAGUAUCCCUAAGUAUGAGAGGAGCAGUGCUGCCAGGAAUAUUUGCUUGUGAAGCGGUUAUAAAGUGGAAAAUGUUAUCUUAAUGAGCUCUUUCAGUCACCAAAUGCUAGUAAAGCGGAAUCUUUCAGUCACCAAAUGCUAGUAAAGCAGAAUCUUUCAAUUUUGUUCUUUUUUUUCCCCCUUGGUUCUACAUGGUUUACAAGCUUAGGAUAACUGAAGAAUACAACUUGCCUUUAGAGAAACCUCUUCCC
ensembl:lncRNA